UACAGAGGGUGCAAGCGUUUGUUCGGAAUUAUUGGGCGUAAAGGGCGCGUAGGCGGUGCGGUAAGUCCGCAGUGAAAUCUCUGGGCUCAACUCAGAGUCUGCUGUGGAAACUGCCGUGCUUGAGUGUGGGAGAGGUGAGUGGAAUUCCCGGUGUAGCGGUGAAAUGCGUAGAUAUCGGGGAGGAACACCUGUGGCGAAAGCGGCUCACUGGACCAUUACUGACGCUGAUGCACGAAAGCUAGGGGAGCAAACAGG
rnacentral:rRNA from 1 species